UAAUAAGUGUUUUAUGGCACUUUUUAAAUCCAUAUCCACCUUGUGUGCAAUGUCAGUCGAUCUUCUUCAUGGAGAUCGACCAAACAUCAACCUUUAUUUUUUAGCUCUUUGUCUGAAAAAUAUUAUGAAUAAACAAUUCAAAAUA
rnacentral:misc_RNA from 1 species